AGUACAGCCCUGCAACUUGGAUUCAGCUUCAUGCAUAUCCCAUAAAUCUCGAACACAAGCAUGGGCCUGAAGAACUUAUGUUGUCUAAUAAAUACUUUAAACUUGAACAUGUCUCUUUGUGUUUAGACUUUCUAUUUGUGGUCAUUAUGUAUGGUCUUUUACACACUACUAUGCCCUAGAAAAAAAUACAUCAAAAUUUAUGGAUUUCUUUUUUGUUAACCAGAGGCAGAUCUAGGGGAUUUAAAUUCUAUGAAUUCAAUCUUAAGAUUUUUAGUAUUCAACCCAUUAUAAUUUACAAGUUAUGGGUUCAUAUCUACUAUACAUUACAAUUUUAAUAAUUUUUUACACAAAAAUUUAUAUUCCGCGUCUAAAGUUAAUGCAUUGAACAAAUACGAGGAAUGUCAUUCAGAUUUACAUUUAGGUUGACUUUACUAUUAUCUAUCAAGUUAAUACAUUGUCAAUUUGUGAUUCUUGCUCAUUGAAAAUUUCAUAUCUAUUGUACAUUUAACCUUGAAGUUUUGAUUAAUUGAAUUUCUUUUCAGUUUCACUUUGUGACAAAGCUCCUGAAGAUAGUUGAUGUUGUACUCUCAAAUAAAGUUGGUCGUUCUAUCCUAUCACACACAUGAUGAUGUGAACUGCUACUCUACAUGAGGACUCAGUGGAGAAUGGAACAUCUGGGAAUGCUUUGUGAUAUCAAUGUGGAUGAGCUCCUGAACUGUAAAUUUCUGAAAUAUCUUAUGUAAUUGAGUUACUAAUAAUUUGAUUACUAAACAAGCUCAUUGUUAUUCUGAAAGUUCACUUAAA